GCUCUGCACUCUGAGUCAACCCCAGCUGCAGGCCUGGAUGAGCAGUUUAACAAUCUUUGCUUUUUUUUUUUUAUGGUCAGAAUCAGAAGUAUCAUGUUUCUAGAGCCUGGGGGCUAUUGUGGUAUUUAAACGGGGCAAGCGGCUGGCAUUCCUCCAAUCCUUACCUGCAGCUGUGUUUCUGGUCAGAAUUGUCUGAUGAGUCACUGGUGAAAGCUUGAAAUCUUCUUUUCAGUUAGUUAUUCUUCAUUCUCAUCAGAUCCAAACAACAAAAUUAGUAAGUGCGAUUUGCUUCAUGGAUUUUAGCUUCCCCAUUUUAUAUUCUUUCUUUCUGAAUAUACAAG
rnacentral:lncRNA from 1 species